GAUCAUGGCUCAGGAUGAACGCUAGCGGCAGGCUUAACACAUGCAAGUCGAGGGGCAGCAUAAUGGAUAGCAAUAUCUAUGGUGGCGACCGGCGCACGGGUGCGUAACGCGUAUGCAACCUACCUUUAACAGGGGGGAUAACACUGAGAAAUUGGUACUAAUACCCCAUAAUAUCAUAGAAGGCAUCUUUANGGUUGAAAAUUCCGAUGGUUAGAGAUGGGCAUGCGUUGUA
rnacentral:rRNA from 1 species